rnacentral:rRNA from 1 species
GACGAACGCUGGCGGCGUGCUUAACACAUGCAAGUCGAACGGAAAGGCCCUGCUUUUGUGGGGUGCUCGAGUGGCGAACGGGUGAGUAACACGUGAGUAACCUGCCCUUGACUUUGGGAUAACUUCAGGAAGCUGGGGCUAAUACCGGAUAGGAGCUCCUGCUGCAUGGUGGGGGUUGGAAAGUUUCGGCGGUUGGGGAUGGACUCGCGGCUUAUCAGCUUGUUGGUGGGGUAGUGGCUUACCAAGGCUUUGACGGGUAGCCGGCCUGAGAGGGUGACCGGCCACAUUGGGACUGAGAUACGGCCCAGACUCCUACGGGAGGCAGCAGUGGGGAAUAUUGCACAAUGGGCGGAAGCCUGAUGCAGCAACGCCGCGUGCGGGAUGACGGCCUUCAGGUUGUAAACCGCUUUCGCCUGUGACGAAGCGUGAGUGACGGUAAUGGGUAAAGAAGCACCGGCUAACUACGUG